AUAAUGAAGGAUUUUCUCUAAAGAAAAAUGGCUCCAAAUGUUGGGGAAGAGUCAUAAGGUACAGCCCGAUCUACAUAUUUAUAUAGAAAAGUAUGAUUUUAUGCAAGUACUACUAUGAAAAGAUGAAUUCAUAUGAAGGGAAACUUAAUUGCUUCACAAAUCACAAUUAGCCAAUAACGUUACGUUUCGUAGGCUAAUUCAAUAGGCCCUCGUUUCAUUUCAUCAACCAUUCAAUUACUUUUGUAUACAAAAGAUUAUAAAGCAAACAGCUAAUCAAGAAAGAGAAAAAGGAAAAAUUGUUAGAAUAGGAUUUAAAAAAUUAAAAAUUGACGAAAAUUGAAUAAUAUGGAGUGAAGAGGAAACGCAACUUAUUCUAAAAAAACUAGAACUUAAAGUAGACAAUAAACACCAAAUUAAAAAAAUAGGUGCAAACAACUUAAAUAAUGAGGGAAUAUUAGAAACAACAGCGUAUAUUUAAGGUAGACAGAGAGUAAUUUAGAAAAAUCUUUAAAUGUAAGAGAUGCGAAUAUAAAAAAAUUAAAUGAAGAAUGAAUCAAAUUGGAAAUAAUAUAACUGUUUAUGUGAGAGAUAAAUGGAGCGAUAUUUUUGGAAAAGUAAAAACAAUCCUGAAGUAUAGUGAGGAUGGAUACAUAAUAAUGGGAUGAGGUUUUAAUUCAAAAACUGCAAAUGAGAGUGGGAAAGAAAACGAAACUAUCACGGAAGAGAAUAGAUUAUCGAAAGAUAAACUAGUAAACAAGGAGGAGGAAACAUUACUGAAUUGGAUUUCCGAUAAAAGAAUUCUUAUUCUGAAUAAAAAUGUAAAAGGAGAUGGAGAUUUCGCCUGCAUAGGAGGAACAGAAAGGUCAGUAGAUUAUGUAAUCAUUAAUCGAAGAACAAAAGAACUUGUAGAAAGAAUACAAAUGGUAAAUAGCAACGAGUUGGAUCAUUAAAUAUUAUGCUUGGAACUAAAAAUGCAGACGGGAAAACAAAUAAAGGGGGAAAAUAUGAAAUAGUUACAUGAGAAAGCUGGUAUGAAGAAAACAUUUUAAAUUAAGUAUUUGCAAAUUUAGAAAAAAAAAAUAAGCGCAGUACAAGACGGGGGGAGUAGUAAGUGGAAGAAGAAAAAUCGGGUCAGUUACAUAUGCAGAUGAUAUAGUACUAUUAGCAAAUAAUGUUUGUUGUUUAAAUCAUUAACGUAAUCUGUAUAAAAUAUUGUAUUUUGUUGGACAAAUAUAACGCUGUAUAUUCCAUUAAUUUCAGCACAUUUACACUAUCAUCAAUCGAUGUAAAACGAUAACUCGUUAACGCAAAAGUUAUCUGAUUAUUUUGUAAGAUGCAGAAAGUUGCAUUGUACGAAAAUUUUAUACGUUUUGCAACUGUUAUGGACAAUUUGGUACUAUCAUUAAUAUUAUCUGCAUGAUUUCUUUGAUUAUUUUCUUCAAUAAAAAAUAAAUAAUAUAAAAUCGUA